AGUGGCUCCUGGCCAAGGCAGUCUCUCUUUCUGAGUGCGAUGGGGUCUCAUCACCUGGCACUGAGAAGGACUCUUGAACUGCAGGUUUGUGAACAGCCUGGUGUUCUGUGAACAGGGAGGCCUGGUGUGCUGUGAUUUAUGGGGUUGCAAACAGUUGGACGCGACUGAACUGAACUGAACUGAUGUUCUAUGUCCUGGGCCUCAAGGUGGGGCACUUUGGCCUGAACAUCUACCUGACACAGUUAAUCUUCAGAGCAGUCGAGGUGCCUGCCUGCUGCUGCAGCAUUUUAUAAUGGAAUGGAUGGGCCGCAGAUCUGCCUGUGGUGGUCACUGUGCUGGCUCUGGUGGGGAAGUUUGCCUUGGCGGCUGGAUUUACCAUCUUCUACGUGGACUCUGCUGAGCUCCUCCCCACUGUCAUCAGGUAAGGGUGGCAGGUGCAACCCUGGAUCCUCUGCUCCCAAGACCCUCAUUUUGACCAUCCCUCCUCUGCCCUCCCUAGUGUUCCCCACAGAACUUACAGGACUGGCUCUGGGGCAGCAGGGCUGGAUGGGGUCCAGGGCUGGAUGAAGUCAGGGGAGUGCAGAGGAGGGCAGUGGAGGGCAGAUACACCAAGGGCCAUAGCCUGGCCUUGUCAGGACUAAAUACUGUGAGUCCAGGUUUGAUGAAUGGCUCAGAAGGAAGUCUGCAGUGGGAGUGGGGGGUGGUCAGGAGGUGCAGCCUUUGAUUGGAGACUGGAUAGGUGGGCAGGAGUGCAGCCGGCAAACAGAAGGCCUGGAGGUGGGAGAAGCAGGCCACAUCGUAGGACCAGGAGAAGUGCAGGUUGAUGGGGCGGGAAGGCUAGGUGGACUUGAGGAAGCCUGGGGACCGUGCACGUCUGGGGAGACCAGAUGAAACAUCGGGGCUUUCCAAGGACGUGAGCUGGGGUGGAACUGUGGGAGGAGCUGGGGUGGACCCAGGGGAGGCCAGGUCCGCUCAGCUUCUGCCAGCCUUCCCACAGGCAGACGGGCAUGGCGCUGGUGGACAUCUUUUCAAGGAUCAGGGGCAUCCUCAUGCCACUCAUGAUCCUACUGGGCGAGCAUCACGUGUCCCUCCUCGUGCUCAUCUACAGCAGCCUCCCCAUCAGGGCCGGCUUACUCGGCCCUGCUGACAGAGACACGUGGCCAGACCCUGAAGGACACUGUCGACGACCUGGAGCAAGAAUCCUGACCACAGUGAGGUGCUUGCUCUCUCUGAACCCAGGACCUCACAUCAGUGGCCCCUCUUCCAGAAGGCCAGGUCUCUACUUUACCACUUGUCCAUUGUUGCAGAGGGAGCCCUCACAAUUCCCAUACUUUGGGGAGGAGGUGGCGAGGAAUGAGGACAGUACCUAGAUAGCCAAUGAUGACCUUCUGCU
ensembl:lncRNA